rnacentral:rRNA from 1 species
GACGAACGCUGGCGGCGUGCUUAACACAUGCAAGUCGAACGGAAAGGCCCUGCUUUUGUGGGGUGCUCGAGUGGCGAACGGGUGAGUAACACGUGAGUAACCUGCCCUUGACUUUGGGAUAACUUCAGGAAACUGGGGCUAAUACCGGAUAGGAGCUCCUGCUGCAUGGUGGGGGUUGGAAAGUUUCGGCGGUUGGGGAUGGACUCGCGGCUUAUCAGCUUGUUGGUGGGGUAGUGGCUUACCAAGGCUUUGACGGGUAGCCGGCCUGAGAGGGUGACCGGCCACAUUGGUACUGAGGUACGGCCCAAACUCCUACGGGAGGCAGCAGUGGGGAAUUUUGCACAAUGGGCCGAAGCCUGAUGCAGCACCGCCACGUGCGGGAUGACUGCCUUCGGGUUGUAAACCGCUUUAGCCUGUCACGAAGCGUGAGUGACGGUAAUGUGUAAAGAAGCACCGGCUAACUACGUG